rfam:Operophtera brumata OBRT01_Sc06153, whole genome shotgun sequence.
UGUUCUAUGGUCGAACUGGUAAAGGCAUUGCCGAUCACAGGUAAGGUUGCGGGUUUGAGUCCCGCUGGAACGG